rnacentral:rRNA from 1 species
AGUGACAAGAAAUAACAAUACAGGACCUUUUGGUUUUGUAAUUGGAAUGAGUUAAGUAUAAACCCCUUUACAAGUAUCAAUUGGAGGGCAAGUCUGGUGCCAGCAGCCGCGGUAAUUCCAGCUCCAAUAGCGUAUAUUAAAGUUGUUGCAGUUAAAAAGCUCGUAGUUGGAUUUCUGUUAAUAAUUUAUAUAAAAUAUUUUGAUGAAUAUUUAUAUAAUAUUAACAUAAUUCAUAUUACUAUAUAUUUUAGUAUAUGAAAUUUUACUUUGAGAAAAUUAGAGUCUUAAAGCAGG